rnacentral:lncRNA from 1 species
AUGUAUACUACCCCUUUCAUGUAUCAAAUACAAGAACGACUACUGUAAUUACAAAAUAAAAAGGAAAUAUAUUUUGUGGCAAGUUCCGUUUGAUGGCGUGAACACUUAAUGUGACAUGUACAAAAUCGUGGCAUAAAAUAACUGAUAUGACAUUACAAAAAAUAAAGAAUAAAAAAAUACCUUUUAUCGAAAAAAAAUGUCUUCCUCUCCAACAUUCAUUUCCGAUUCUCACUUCUUCAAUCUCCGACAAAUUGA